GAGUUUGAUCCUGGCUCAGAACGAACGCUGGCGGCGUGCCUAACACAUGCAAGUCGAACGUGAUCCAGAGCUUGCUCUGGUGAAAGUGGCGCACGGGUGAGUAACGCGUGGAUAACCUACCCUGGUAUCCGGGAUAACAUUCSGAAAGGGGUGCUAAUACCGGAUAAGCCCACGGGCUCUUUGGAGCUUGCGGGAAAAGGUGGCCUCUAUUUAUAAGCUACUGUAUCAGGAUGGGUCCGCGUACCAUUAGCUAGUUGGCGGUGUAACGGACCACCAAGGCGACGAUGGUUAGCUGGUCUGAGAGGAUGAUCAGCCACACUGGAACUGAGACACGGUCCAGACUCCUACGGGAGGCAGCAGUGGGGAAUUUUGCGCAAUGGGGGAAACCCUGACGCAGCAACGCCGCGUGAGUGAUGAAGGCCUUUGGGUCGUAAAGCUCUGUCAGAGGGGAAGAAAUGAUAUAGUGCUAAUACCACUUUAUCUUGACGGUACCCUCAAAGGAAGCACCGGCUAACUCCGUGCCAGCAGCCGCGGUAAUAC
rnacentral:rRNA from 1 species